rnacentral:rRNA from 1 species
UACACAUGCAAGUCGAACGGUGAAGCCCAGCUUGCUGGGUGGAUCAGUGGCGAACGGGUGAGUAACACGUGAGCAACCUGCCCCUGACUCUGGGAUAAGCGCUGGAAACGGCGUCUAAUACUGGAUACGAGUAGCGACCGCAUGGUCAGUUACUGGAAAGAUUUAUUGGUUGGGGAUGGGCUCGCGGCCUAUCAGCUUGUUGGUGAGGUAAUGGCUCACCAAGGCGUCGACGGGUAGCCGGCCUGAGAGGGUGACCGGCCACACUGGGACUGAGACACGGCCCAGACUCCUACGGGAGGCAGCAGUGGGGAAUAUUGCACAAUGGGCGCAAGCCUGAUGCAGCAACGCCGCGUGAGGGAUGACGGCCUUCGGGUUGUAAACCUCUUUUAGCAGGGAAGAAGCGAAAGUGACGGUACCUGCAGAAAAAGCGCCGGCUAACUACGUGCCAGCAGCCGCGGUAAUACGUAGGGCGCAAGCGUUAUCCGGAAUUAUUGGGCGUAAAGAGCUCGUAGGCGGUUUGUCGCGUCUGCUGUGAAAUCCGGAGGCUCAACCUCCGGCCUGCAGUGGGUACGGGCAGACUAGAGUGCGGUAGGGGAGAUUGGAAUUCCUGGUGUAGCGGUGGAAUGCGCAGAUAUCAGGAGGAACACCGAUGGCGAAGGCAGAUCUCUGGGCCGUAACUGACGCUGAGGAGCGAAAGGGUGGGGAGCAAACAGGCUUAGAUACCCUGGUAGUCCACCCCGUAAACGUUGGGAACUAGUUGUGGGGUCCAUUCCACGGAUUCCGUGACGCAGCUAACGCAUUAAGUUCCCCGCCUGGGGAGUACGGCCGCAAGGCUAAAACUCAAAGGAAUUGACGGGGACCCGCACAAGCGGCGGAGCAUGCGGAUUAAUUCGAUGCAACGCGAAGAACCUUACCAAGGCUUGACAUAUACGAGAACGGGCCAGAAAUGGUCAACUCUUUGGACACUCGUAAACAGGUGGUGCAUGGUUGUCGUCAGCUCGUGUCGUGAGAUGUUGGGUUAAGUCC